rnacentral:ncRNA from 4 species
CGGAAGGGCACCACCAGGAGUGG